UGAAACACUGGUAAAACAUUUCAUCUGCUGCUCUUAUGAGAAAAGCUGCAUGCUGGAAAGUUGUUUGUGUUUUUGUUUUGGUUGCACAUUAGCCAAACCUGGCACAGGUUAUUCAAUAACUUUACAAUUAUAAACAUAAAGGUUAUCUGGGUAAUGUAUAAUGGUUAUUGUUGCUCUAUGAUUAAGCAUAUGCAUUGCUGAAAGAUCACCUGAAGAUCAGAUAUUAUACCCGCUGCUGAUUACAGGCCUGCAGGAUGUUUGCAUAUGGAGUGUACAGUGGGCAAGCAUCAGUCUUUUAGUACACAUUCUUGACCCCCAGCCAUACCAAACAACACAGUGAAAAGGGAAAUGCCAUUGCUUAUUCUGAGGAAUCAAAUACCUUCAGUUUUGCUUAUCUUUUAUCACACUGUGAAAAAAGGAGUUAAUGGAAAAGCUGGACAAGGGUGAAGGCUUUCUCAUGAACCCCAAAUACAUGUUUGAGUGGCUUCAUGGAAAAGCAGACGUCUGUGAGGAGUCCUUGAUCUAGAAAGGAAGGUGUGAGGACACGGAUCAAUACAAGGCAGGUGAAAGUCCACCACUCUAAUCUUUAAUAUAGUAUUUGCUCUUUGGUCCAAGUCUCAAACCUUAGGGCUUCCAUCUCAAUUCUCCUUCAAUAAAAGUGUCUGAAUACAUAUUUUAAAGGACAUUUUUCAACCUUUAAACGCAUUUAAAUCAUCUUCAUUUAAAAUUGGAAAUUAACAGAAGGUAUAAGAAUUAUGACAUGCUUAAAACAAAGAAAGUAAAUAUUCAUUAUCCUGAUUAUUUAAUAUUCAGCGCCGCACUAUUUUAGGUCCCUAUUUAAAUAUUUGUGAUAUUGACCAUAUCA